CCCAAGCUUACCUCUUGCUCGUCCCUGAGCAAGGAUAGUUUCAGUGAUGGAUCAGAAGUUGCUGCAAUACUUUUAAAAAUUGAUGGUACACAUGCUUUUAAAUAGGAUCUCAUCUCUGAGUUAGAGUAAACUGUCAAGACUUAAAACUUAUUCAUUUUACCUUUCACCAUGGGACUUGUAACCGUCAUUUCUGUCUUGAGUAGUUAAAAGAUAGAACAGUCUAGUCAAGUGUCAUGUCUCUUAUUCUUGAUCAGCUAUAGCUCUGGAGUUUUUGCAGAUUUUCAAAUAAAACUCAGAGAUUCCUUGUAUGACUCUCUCAAAUCUCUCUUUUGUGGUAUUUCUAGAUCCUUACCAAGGCAGUGAUGGUAUAUGCCUUCUCUCAAGAUAUGUGGUAUUUGUGGUAUAAGGCAUAGUAACAUUGCCUUCUCUCUCAUCCUACUCUAAUAAGGCUUUAAUAUCUGGAGCUCAUAGGUGGGAGAUAAAAUAUACAUACUCACAAGACAUUUAUUGUAUAGUCAAACCAUGGAUCCAAAGAAACAAAUCAAUAAGUCAAAUCAAGAUGUGCAUGUGUGGCAAAUGAAUGGUGUAUGAUGGUGAUAACAAUGGUGAAUGUCUAAUUCUACUUUUGCUCUUUGAGGGGAUACAUACCUUCCUUGCUCUUUUGAAACUUUGAGGAGAAUGAGAUGCUCUAUAUUUUUUCUUUUUCUUUCCUCUCAGGUGGGUAUCUUGUACCUCUAAUUCUACUAUCGGACACUUGUCCAUUUUUACCUCUCGUCUCACUUUUUCUUUUCUUUUGAGGUUCCGAGCACUUGCCUCUUUUUAUUUCCUCAUAUACUUUUUUUCUCACUCUUUUUUUAUUAUUAUUAGAGCAAAGGGGCAAGUGCUAGUAACAAGAUAACUUGAGCAUUUAUUUCACAGGAGAAACAGAAAUAUUUUUGGCCAUUCUCUCCCGGAUUAGGAGUAGAAUAUUUUUGGGUGGUUCUGGAGAUGGAAAUGGGUGUGGAUGGUACUUCCGGAGUAGAAGUAGCAUGUGUGAAUGAACGUGCAAGUGAAUCUUGAUUUAACCACAUGACAAGCUCCUAAGGGUCUACACAGCUUGACCACACUCAAUGCUCAUAAGCAGUAAAAAGUAAAUGUGUGGCCCAAAAUCUAGCAAGCAUGUAUAUAUGGCUGUGGUAGGAAUUUAAACUCUCAUCAUACUGGAACUCAUCAUGUGCUAUUUUAAAGAUUUUAAAAGAUAAAAUUCUCCAGAAUUCUAGCAUCUCUAGGAACAGAUAAACAGCAGCUCAACCUUCCCAUAUCAUAUCCGUUAACAACUUAGACUUCAGAUUAAGUUUUCAUCCCACAAGUUUAGGUUUAGAGCAAGCUUUAAAUUAUAACAGUUAUAUCUAAACUAGUGAGAGAACUUCAAAUUUGCAAAUUAGGUAGAGCAACUAUUUAUCAUAUCCAUGCUAGAGUUUUAUUUAGAUAUAGUUUAGCAUAUCCACUUUAUUUAUUUAUUAAACACACUAAGCAAAAGACAUAUAUUUAUAUAGGCACAAAAUCUUUAUUUGGUUUUUUUCUGGUUUAUGUAUAUUUAUAUUCUAAUAUAAUAUAAGUGUAAAGAUAGAUAGAAAUACUUAUCGGGAUAAAUGGGGGUGCUCUCCCCCAAGCUGAAUUUUGACGUAAUUUCUUUUGAUGUAGCUAGCAGGUGGCAGAGGUGUAUUUGAAAGUCGGCAGUAUCCUGACAGCGAUUAGAAUGUCCUCCGUCUGCUAGUCUUCUUGAUUCUUGAAUUCUGUGGAGCUCAAAUAGACAACAAAGCUUUGUGGAACUGAUUAGGUAUUAGCAUAAAUAUCUAGCCUUUAUCAUGUUGAGUCUCCUCAAUAUUACUCUCUAUUUUUAUAUUUUUGUUUUAUAAAGCAGAAAAGAAAUAUUUAUUUUAUUUUUAUGCCACCACAGUGAAUGUACUUAUGGGUUUCAUGCCACUCGUAUACUCACAUGGGGCUUACUAUUUUUUAACAUUUUUAUUUUCUUUUUAGGAUAGUAUAAACAUAACUAAUUAAGUAAACUAUUUUAAAUAAUUGAAAGGGAAAGGAUAACUACCAAGUUUACCUCUUGGCAAGGCGUUCGGUGUUUUUAAGUCCUCCGAACGGGACUCUCCGUUUUCUUCAGUUGUCUUGGGAUUCGUUGGAUGGCGGAGUCGGUACUUCCGGCGGCGCCUCUUCUUCAUGUAUAGUUAUCUUCUCUUUCCACACCUGACUCGGUGCUACGGUCUCCUCAGGAUGAUCUUGUUCAAGCUGUAUGUCUUCAGACCUUAUCACUUCUCCUUCAUAGUCUGCCCAUCCGUCCUUGAUGAUUUGCCUCCUCUGGUUGCGGUUGCGUUGUUUCCUGACCUGCUUAGAGUCUUCAACGAUAUAGUUAGGGUCAGUAAAAUAGCGGCGUACCUUCUGUGAGGGUAAGUGCAUAUGGACUUCUCCAGUUCCAAUGUAGAUGAUUGCUUUAACGGUGCUAAGGAACUGUCUUCCAAGGAUGACGGGUGAAUCAUAUUCGUCUUCUCCCAUGUCAAUAACCUGAAAGUCUGUGUAGACAAAAUGAUCGUCUAUUUUGACAGAAACAUCAGUUACUAUUCCUUUAACCUCUCGAAAUGUCUGAUCUGCCAUCUGGAGCUGAAUGUAUGUUGGUUUUAAGGGCAUGGUUCCGAACAGGAGCCGAUAGGUGACUGCGGCCAUGAUGUUGACGCCCGAUCUGGUGUCGCAAAACGUCUUGUAGAAGUUGUAUCCAUUUAUGGAGCAAUAGAUGCUUGGCAUUCCUGGUUCGUCCUUCUUGGUCAGACACGGUGACUUAAGUUGAUGCUCUUGACCUCCAUGAACUGCAGUGACCAUCUUAGCUGACUCGGUCCACACUUGCUUGUUCCUGUUCCUCCUGUUGGUCCUCUUUCUUGAUUCACGUCUGGAUUGAUGUGGAAUUUGUGUAGUCUUGUUCUUGAAGGACAACGUCUCCUUCCUCCCUUUGAUGUAGAAACUGAUCUUGGUAGCGCUAGCGUAGAUGACAGCUCCCGAGGUGUUUAAUAAUGGCCUCCCUAAGAUGAUGGGUGCCCUCUCAUCAUCACCGGUCUCUAUCACCACGAAGUCUGCUAGGGCGUACAAGGUACCAACUCGGACACAAAGAUUCUUAAAUAUUCCCUUUGGAAAAACAAUGCCUGAUCUGCAAACUGCAAACACAUGGUUGUUUCUAAUAAAGGAUAUGUAAAGAUUUUUUCGUAGAGUACCCUGGACAUAAUGUUGACGCUAGAGCCAAAGUCGCAGAGUGCUUCUGGGACGUCCACCAUGCCGAUAGAGCUCGGGAUGACGGGGCAUCCUGGAUCGCCUCUCUUGACCGGCAGAAGGUCAGUAGUGAAUUCAGUGACGGGGUUACUCCAAUUACCUGCAUCAAACAUGUCUACAAGAUUUGCAUAUUCUAAUCCUUCCGGUUGUGAUGGUAUACCGGGGUUAGUAGCAGGAACAGCAGCAACUAUUUGAUUUAACUGAGAUUCAAUCAUUUUAUUAAAGCUAAUUUGAUUCUUGAUGGCAGUAGAGAAAUUAUCCAUUCUAUUAUUUAUAUUUUCUAGCAUUUUAUCAUUAGAUGCCAAUUUCUUAGAUAGAUUAUCCAUUAGCUUUCCUUGAUUAGACACUAACUCUCUCAGAGGUGGAAAAUUAUUAUUAUUGUUGUAAGAAUUGUUACCUUGAUAAUUACCUGAGUAGUUAGGCCUCUGUUGAUUCCAACCUUGAUUUUGUUGAGGACAGUUGUAGUAGUAUUAGUUGUUGUUGUUGAUGUAGUUCACAUCCUCAAGCAUCUCAGGGCAGUGAUUGCCUGAGUGUCCAGUAUCUCCACACUCCUCACAAGUCAUGUGAGAGUCGUAGAUGUGCAUAACUUCUUUCUUGUCUCCAGCUCUAUCAUCGAGCUUCUUCAUGAGCAGGUCUAGCUUUGCAGCCAGCAUGUCUACCUCCUUGAGCUGAUGCAUACCUCCACCUCUCUUGCGUGUCUGGGUCCUUUCUUCAUUCCAGCUUUGGUUGGACGCCAUCUUCUCCACAAGAGGUGUGGCUUGUGAUAUGGUGAGUGAUAAGAAUGCUCCUCUAGCUGCAGCAUCCAUGGUUUCUCGGGCACUGUUGCCGAGCCCAUGAUAAAAUGUCUGCAUUAGUAGCCAACUCUCCAUUCCAUGAUGGGGACAUUCUAGGAUGUAGUCUUGGAAGCGCUCCCAUGCUUCUGGAAUAGAUUCAUUAUGUUGUUGCUGAAAACUUGUAAUCUUCCCACGGAUAGCAUUGGUCUUUCCCAUGGGAAAGAACUUAGCCAGAAAGUUUGUUGAGCAGAGUGCCCACGUAGUAUUCUUCUCCUUUGUAGCAUAAAACCACUGCUUCGCUCUCCCCAACACUGAGAACAGGAAGAGGCAAAGUAGUAUAGCAUCUCUGGGGACUCCUGAUAUGGUAAAUGUGCUGCAAAUCUUUAGGAAGUGUUGGAGAUGAGCACUAGCAUCUUCAUGUGCCUUCCCACAGAACUGGUUGGAUUGCACCAUGUUGAUAAGUCUAGGCUUGAGCUCAAAGUUGCCAUCGAUCUCUGUAGCAGGUCCAGUGCAGAUGUUGUCCGUAGUGGGAGCUGAGAACUCACGGAUCGAUUUGUUUGCCAUAGCUUCGAACUCUGAAGACAAGUUUCGGUGAUCUUCUUGAUUGGAUGAAGCUUCUUGCUGAAGUGUUGAUGAUCUCUUCUUGAGCUUGGCUCUAGUUUUUUCUGAAUAAUGCUUCGGGAUUGUCAACAAAAUUUCCUGGAAGAUGUCUUCUAUUCAUACAUUACCCUGCAUAAGAUAAAAAUAGGAAAAUAUCAGGGUAAAACUGUAUGAGAGAAUAGAUAAGCUCAAUCAUAUUAGUGAUGCGAAUGAUAACUCAAAAUCCUAUAUCCAUUCCUGAUUAGUAAUCAACAUUCCCCGGCAACGGUGCCAAAAAUUCUUGUUGAGUUCUCAGCUCCCACUACGGACAACAUCCGCACUGGACCUACUGCAGAGAUCGACGACAACUUUGAGCUCAAGCCUGGACUUAUCAACAUGGUGCAAUCCAACCAGUUCUGUGGGAAGGCACAUGAAGAUGCUAGUGCUCAUCUCCAACACUUCCUGGAGAUUUGCAGCACAUUUACCAUAUCAGGAGUCCCCAGAGAUGCUAUACUACUUCGCCUCUUCCCAUUCUCACUGUUAGGGAAAUCGAAGUAGUGGUUUUACGCUACAAAGGAGAAGAAUACUACGUGGGCACUCUGCUCUACAAACUUUCUAGCUAAGUUCUUUCCCAUGGGCAAGACCAAUGCUCUCCGUGGGAAAAUUACAAGUUUUCAGCAACAACAUGAUGAAUCUGUUCUAGAAGCAUGGGAGCGCUUCCAAGACUACAUCCUAGAAUGUCCCCAUCAUGGAACGGAGAGUUGGCUAUUGAUGCAGACAUUUUAUCAUGGGCUCGGCAACAGUGCCCGAGAAACCAUGGAUGCUGCAGCUGGAGGAGCAUUCUUAUCACUCACCAUAUCACAAGCCACAGCUCUUGUGGAGAAGAUGGCGUCCAAUCAAGGCUGGAAUGAAGAGAGGACCCAAACACGCAAGAACGGUGGAGGUAUGCAUCAGCUCAAGGAGGUAGACAUGCUAUCUGCAAAGCUAGACCUGCUCAUGAAGAAGCUCGAUGAUAAAGCUGUUGAUAAGAAAGAAGUUAUGCACAUCUACGACUCUCACAUGACUUGUGAGGAGUGUGGAGAUACUGGACACUCAGGCAAUCACUGUCCUGAGAUGCUUGAGGAUGUGAACUACAUCCACAACAACAACUACUACUACAACCGUCCUCAACAAAAUCAAGGUUGGAAUCAAUAGAGGCUUAACUAGUCAGGUAAUUAUCAAGGUAACAAUUCUUAAAACAAUAAUAAUUUUCCACCUCUGAGAGAGUUAGUGUCUAAUCAAGGAAAGCUAAUGGAUAAUCUAUCUAAGAAAUUGGCAUCUAAUGAUAAAAUGCUAGAAAAUAUAAAUAAUAGAAUAGAUAAUUUCUCUACUGCCAUCAAGAAUCAAAUUAGCUUUAAUAAAAUGAUUGAAUCUCAGUUCAAUCAAAUAGCUGCUGCUGUUCCUACUACUAACCCCGGUAUACCAUCACAACCGAAAGGAUUAGAAUCUGCAAAUCUUGUAGACAUGUUUGAUGCAGGUAAUUGGAGUAACCCCGUCACUGAAGUUACUACUGACCUUCUGCCAGUCAAGAGAGGUGAUCCAGGACGCCCCGUCAUCCCGAUCUCCAUCGGCAUGGUGGACUUCCCAGAAGCACUCUGCGACUUUGGCUCCAGCGUCAACAUUAUGCCCAGGGUACUCUAUGAAAAAUUCUUUACAUAUCCUUUAUCAGAAACAACCAUGUGUUUGCAGUUUGCAGAUUAGACGAUAAGUUUUCCAAAAGGAAUAUUGAAGAACCUUUGUGUCUGAGUUGGUACCUUGUACGCCCCAGCAGACUUCGUGGUGAUAGAGACCGGUAAUGCUGAGAGGGCACCCAUCAUCUUAGGGAGGCCAUUCUUGAACACCUCGGGAGCUGUCAUCUACGCUAGUGCUGCCAAGAUCAGUUUUUACAUCAAGGGGAAGAAGGAGAUGUUUUCCUUCAAGAACAAGACUACACAAAUCCCAGAUCAGCGUGAACCAAGGAAGAGGACCAACAGGAGGAAUAGGAACAAGCAAGUACCGAGUCAGCUAAGAUGGUCACUGCAGUUCAUGGAGGUCAAGAUCAUCGACUUAAGUCACCGUUUCUGACCAAGAAGGACGACCCAGGAAUGCCAAGCAUCUACUGCUCCAUAAAUGGAUACAGCUUCUAUAAGACGUUUUGUGACACCGGAUCGGGCGUCAACAUAAUGGCCGCAGUCACCUAUCGGCUCUUGUUCGGAACCAUGCCCUUAUGACCCACAUACAUUCAGCUCUAGAUGGCAGAUCAAACAUUUCGAGAGGUUAAAGGAACAGUAACUGAUGUCCCAGUCAAAAUAGACGAUCAUUUUGUCUACACAGACUUUCAGGUUAUUGACAUGAGAGAAGACGAAUACGAUUCACCCAUCAUCCUUGGAAGACCGUUCCUCAGCACCGUUAAAGCAAUUAUCUACAUUGGAACUGGAGAAGUCCAUAUGCACUUCCCCUCAGAGAAGGUACACCGCUAUUUUAUUGACCCUAACUAUAUCGUUGAAGACUCUAAGCAGGUCAGAAGAAGACGACGUAACCGCAACCAGAAGAGGCAAAUCAUCAAGGACGGAUGGGCAGACUAUGAAGGAGAAGUUGUAAGGUAUAAAGACAUACUGUCUAAACAGAACUAUCCUGAGGAGACCAUAGCACUGAGUCAGGUGUGGAGAGAGAAGAUAACUAUACACGAAGAAGAGACGAUGCCGGAAGCACUGACUACGCCACCCAACGAAUCCCAGGACAACUAAGAAAACGGUGAGUCCCGUUCAGGGGACUUAAAAACACCGAACGCCUUGCCAAGAGGUAAACUUGGUAGUUAUCCUUUCCCUUUCAAUUAUUUAAAAUAGUUUACUUAAUUAAUUAUGUUCAUACUAUCCUAAAAAGAAAAUAAAAAUGUUAAAACAAGUAAGCCCAUGUGAGUAUACGAGUGGCAUAAAACCCAUAAGUACAUUCACUGUGGUGGCAUAAAAAUAAAAUAAAUAUUUCUUUUCUACUUUAUAAAAUGAAAAUAUAAAUAGGGAGUGACAUUUAUUAAGGAGGCUCAACAUGAUGAAGGCUAGAUAUUUAUGCUAACACUUAAUCAGUUCCACAAAGCUUUGUUGUCUAUUUGAGCUCCACAGAAUUUAAGAAUCAAGAAGACUAGCAGACGGAGGACAUUCUAAUCGCUGUCAGGAUAUUGCCGACUUUCAAAUACACCUCUGCCACCUGCUAGCUACAUCAGGAGAAAUUACGUCAAAAUUCAGCUUGGGGGAGAGCACCCCCAUUUAUCUCGCUAAGUAUUUCUAUCUAUCUAUAUACUUAUACUAUAUUAAAAUAUAAAUAUACAUAACUAUGAAAAACCAAAUAAAGAUUUUGUGCUUAUAUAUAUCUUUUGCUUAGUAUGUUUAAUAAAUAAAUAAAGUGGCUAUGCUAAACUGAAUCUAAUAAAACUUCAGCAUGGAUAUGAUGAAUAGUUGCUCUGCCUAAUUUUAAAAUUUGAGUUCUCUCUAGUUUAGACAUAACUGUUACCUAAAUUUGUGGGAAGAAAACUUGAUCUGAAGUCUAAGUUGUUAAUGGAUAUGAUAUGGGAAGGUUGAGCUGCUAUUUAUCUGUUCCUAGAAAUGCUAGAAUUCUGGAGAAUUUUAUCUUUGAAAAAGCUUUAAAAUAUCACAUGAUGAGUUCCUGUAUGAUGAAAGUUUAAAUUCCUACCACAGCGAUAUAUACAUGCUUGCUAGACUUUGAGCCACACAUUUACUAUUUACUGCUUAUGAGCAUUGAGUGUGGUUAAGCUGUGUAGACCCUUAGGAGCUUGUCAUGUGGUUAAAUCAAGAUUCACUUGCACGUUCACUCACACAUGCUACUUCUACUCUGGAAGUACCAUCCAUAUAUAUCCACCCAUUUCCAUCUCCAGAACCACCCAAAAAUAUUCUACUCCUAAUUCGGGAGAGAAUAGCCAAAAACAUUUCUGUUUUUCCCCUAUGAAAUAAAUGCUCAACUUAUCUUGGUUACUACCACUUGCUAUAUUAUUAUCUCAUGAGAUGAGUGCUCUAAAAAAAGAGAAGACAGUAGAAUUAGGGGUACAAGAUACCCACCUGAGAGAAAAGAAAAUACAGAGCAUCUCAUUCUCCUCAAAAAGUUUCAAAAAGCAAGAAAGGUAUAUAUCCCCUCAAAAGAGCAAAAGUAGAAUUAGACUUUCACCAUUGUUAUCACCAUCAUCACCAUACACCAUUCAUUUGCCACACAUGCACAUCUUGAUUUGACUUAUGAUUUGUUUCUUUGGAUCCAUGGUUUGACUAUGCAAUAAAUGUCUUAUAAAUAUGUAUACUUUAUCUCCCACCUAUGAAGCUCCAGAUAUCAAAAGCCUUAUUAGAGUAGGGUGAGAGAGAAGGCAAUGUCACUAUGCCUUAUACCACAAAUACUACAUACUUUGAGAGAAGGCAUAUACCAUCACUGCCUUGGUAAGGAUCCAGAAAUACUAAAAAGAGAGAUCUGAGAGAGUCAUACAAGGAAACUCUGAGUUUUAUUUGAAAAUCUGCAAAAACUCCAGAGCUAUAGCUGAUCAAGAAUAAGAGACAUGACACUUGAUUAGACCGUUCUAUCUUUUAACUACUCAAGACAGAAGUGACGGUUACAAGUCCCAUGGUGACAGGUAAAGUAAGUAAGUUUUAAGUCUUGACAGUUUACUCUAACACAGAGAUGAGAUCUUAUUUAAAAGCAUGUGUACCGUCAACUUUUAAAGGCAUUGCAACAACUUCUGAUCCAUCACUAAGAAUAUCCUUGCUCAGGGACGAGCAAGAGGUAAGCUUGGGGGAGUUUGUUGACGGUCCUUAAGUAUCAAAUUUAAUUAUCAAAUAAACAAAGAAAAGGAUCCAAAUGAAAUCAACAUCUAGACUUAGGGUUUUAUGUGACAGAAUUCCACGAGUUUUGGUGUUUGUCUAUUUCUGCAGGGGGUUAUCAGGAAAUACGGAAGAAAGGCCCACACGUCGGGAUUACAUAGAGAUAUCAACGUGCCACGCAAUUAUCUUACAUCUAGAAGACUCCAAAAGCCACGAGAACGAAGCAGAGGCGAAACGGGGCCUGGCCCAGGGCGCCCGCCCCCUUACAGAGUCCAAUCAGAACUCUCUUUCGGGAUCAAUCUCCACUGACCUAAAGGAUCAAGGAUAACCGUUCAAUCAAUUUUGGUUUGAUCCGACGGCCCAUAUUCACUUGAAGGGACUAUAAAACCAGACCCCCUGGCCCCUGGAGGAGAGAGCCUCUCAACCCUAAUUCAUUAUUCUCAAGGGAGAAGAAGCCUCUGAUCAAGCCUAGAGCCACCACAUCAAUUAGACAUCUAGAUUAGCAUAGCCUCGAACGCGGAGAAAUGGUCGUGCGAGUUGGCAAUAGCUCGACUGAACAACAACCGUCGAAUAUGGAACUGGCUCGUAUGAAUCAACAGGCCUCGAGCGCAAGGACGUCGCCCGCCGCAAGACGCAGGUACGGGAACCAGGGCAUUUAAUGCGCCUGCCGCGUUCUCACCUAACCCGACAGUCACGGGAAGCGUGAUAGGGAGCAAGCACCCAUCCAAUCGCCCCUUUUUGUAGCCUUGUCCACCAGAUGAGCCAGAGUAUGGUAGGGCGCAGUGAGACGGUCGGAACGUCAUGUCGCGACCCCCCUCGAGACGCCCAAAGUCAGCGCUCCGAUCGGCAGGGCUUUGCGCAGCAUCGGACCCUUGAGUGAACACGUUCCUUCCCAAAGAAGAGUCAGGCGGUGAAAGACAGCACCUCAACCACUCUGACGCGACUGCAGCCAUGACGUACAGGCGUGCCCACGGUUAAGCCAAUCCAAGAUGGCGUGCAGGAGCCGGAUUCAGGGGCACGCGUAAUCAUCAUCUAAGUACUGAGUAACAAGACGGCUCGAGGCCACGCCGGUACGGAAGCCUCGAGUAGGUCAGCGCACCACGCCCCUAUCGACCCCUACUCUAUCACCUACGCCGUGUAACCUAGGUCUCUGUCGACGAAAGCUGGUCGGCAGUCUACCUUGGGGUAUACCCACGGUAGUAGUUUGUCGGUAGACGGUGCGCAAACUACGAACUCGAUGGUGACGCAAGACACGGACAAGCUUUUUAUCCAGGUUCGGCCGCCGAGUUGGCGUAAUACCUACGUCCUGCGUCUGGUUGUAUUGAUUUGUGUUGAGAGAAUAUGAUGUAUCAUCUGUCCUCUAGGGGACCCCUGCCCCUCCUUAUAUAUCCUGAAGGGACAGAGUUACAAGCAAAGUAUCCUAUUUGGUACAAAAUCUUGUAGCCUUGCGGUGCACGCCGACCAGUCGUGCGCCGCACGUCUUCAUCUUGUGGGCCGAGCCACCUCUGAUGGUGCGGCCCAUAUAGGCCCAUGAGGGUAUAGGGGUUUAUACCCCCACAGUCUCCCCUUGGAACUAUAAAAGGGGAGGCACAAGAAAGGAUAGGGGACACGUGACAUACGUAGAAGAACAACCAUACUUCAUCUCCAUCCAUCCACACCAUACCGACUUGUAUUCACCCCUGUACAAGCACUUAGGUGCAAGAUAAUAGAAACAUCUCCCCUCCCCGCUGGACGUAGGGCCUUCUCUUGCCCGAACCAGGAUAAAUCUUUGUGUCUUGCUUGCAUCACCAUCUGGGAAAGGGAACACACACACAAGUUUCACUCGUUGGUGUGACCCCCCGUGGGUAAAACACCGACAACCAGCACAACAAGACCAUGAACCAAGAUUAGAGACUCAUCUAAAACUACAUAUAUCUCUAUAUGUACCCAAUCAAAUCUAUAAUAAUGCAACAACGACUCUAUAUCACUGAUGGAUUAUAAGGAUGCUACGCUAGCCAGAAAACAAAAAUUUUGACCUCAUAAAAUAGGAUCAACUGCCAGUUAUAGAUCAGAGGAUUACCACUAGACGCAUAGAUGCAGCAGAAGCGACUCAGUGUAGUCGUAUGCAUAGUAGUAGUGCCGUGCAGUUGCAUGGUCAUCCACCAUGUCAAUCCCUCUCGUGCGGUUCGUCCUUGUGCUCUAGAUGCAGCACCUUUGAGGUAUCCCACACGUGCGGAGAAGAAGUGUUGCGCCUCUAGACUGCUAGGUCUGCGAGGAGCAAUAGGCGCGAGAGUGGGUGAGCGGUGGUGGCUGCGUAAUGGCGUGAGAUAACCUUGGUGGUGCCCCUCCCUCUGUUAUAUAGGCGUCCUCCAAUCAACCUCGAGUUGGAGGCCCAAUUAGAUAACCCUAAGCCUUGUCUAAUUCGGGUCAAACCUAGCCCCUUAAGCAUGCGACCCUAUGGGUUCACGUACAUAUAGACAUAGGCUGAGUACUCCUACUCGCCCAAUAGUUGACAGUGGCCUAUAGCAAGGCGUGACAACUCCUAUACGCAUGCAAAGAUCAUAUCAGAUGAACCACUACAUACACAUACAUGUUAUUCCCUUGCCACAAGAUAUGUGGUCCAACUUGUGGGUUAACAUUUAACCCAAGCACGACCAUGCAUUUGUUGAUCCAAUCACUUGAGUGAUCUAGUGAUAUCUCUCUCACAUAGAGAGGGGCAGUUCCAUCUUGAUCAUCUAUGUCUCAUAGCAUGUUUCCCAAUAAUCUCGAAAACCACCUUUAUAACUACCCUGUUAUGGGGUAGCAUUUAAUAGUCCCUAAGUAGGUUAUUUCACAUCUUGAGAACAUACGAUCAUCUUAGGUCUAAGGACAUAACGUACAUGAUGUAUAAAGAGAUAAUAAGAACAGCUCAUGUUGGGUCAGUCUAGCCCCAUGUCAUACAUGUGCCCACAUUAUUAGUUUGAUAUCUCUAUCUCUAUGACUUGUGAAACAUAGUCAUCAACUAAUACAUGUGCUAAUCUAAUAUUCAUGUGUAUCCUCACAUGAACUCUAAUCAGGACAACUUUAGAAUAACCAUACAAGUAAAAGAGUUUCACAAACAAUUCACAUAAUUGUUAAUCAAUACAAGUUUGUCUAUAAUGGAUAUUCAUCAAACCCAUAAUAUAUGUCAUGGAUACAAUCGUAAUAUCAUCAUCUCUAUGAUUACCUCUAGGGCAUAUUCCCAACAAGUAGGAUCAUGAGCGAGGAGUUUCUGUGGUGCACGCAUUAGACGCUGGUAGCAUUUGAUGGACAUCCAACUAACAUAUCCGAUGGUGAUUUUCAUCGUUUAGAACCUCUCUGAGUGACAUCCAACGUGAAGGCUCAACGUCUAGUGGCUUUCAUCAGAGCAUCCAACGCCCCUUUAACUAUGGUGUCGAUUGAAUUUGUGACCAUUAGAGUUUGACACACAGGAUUCAAAAGAAGGACACAUGGCGUCCAUCUAUGCGUGGUGCGCUAGGUGCCAGCGUUCGAUGGCUAACCAUCGGAGCAUCUGACACCCCUAAUUCAUAUGUAGUGAGAGAACCAAUGGCUCUAUUUUUUGGGGUGUUUAUAAAUAAUGUUUGGCUAGCUUGGGGCUUACACACUUGGCAUUUGAUACACUUGACAUCCUUAUGAGCCUAAUGUUGAUGGUCGUUAAGUACCAAAUAUAACCAUCAACUAUUGCAUAUUUUAAUAUAAAAUAAAUCACAAAGCAUAAUUGUAGGUUUUGAUUCUAAUGAGUUCCACGAGUUUUGGUGUUCUCAGUUGUUUUGUAUGAAUAUGCAAUUUUCCAUCAAAUAAAAGUAUGUCAAAUGAUGAUUUGGACUAUACCAUUGUGACGGGCUCGUCGAGACGAUCGAAACAGACAUAUCAUUUGCUAUAUUUGGAGUCGAAAAUGAAAAGAUAAUAAAUUUAUAAAUAAAAAAGAAUUACCACUAAUGGGCCCCACGCCCAAGCAAGGCCCAUGCCGUGAGAAGAGGCUCAUAUGACAUGAUAGAGGCCCAAGAGAGGCGCCCCAAGCUGCUCCUUUGAGUGGGCUCAUAUGAGGGAUGAUUGGAAGACCUAAGUUGAUAUAUAAUAGCCCAACAGAGCAAACAAUGAAAGAAUUAGUCCCACAUCGCCUAUCCAGAAGUGGUGGGAGGCUUUUCUAGGCUAUAAAUAAAGAGGUAGACCCUCGCCCGGAGAUUAAAAGAUAGGUGUAGCAAUUAGAAGAGACUAAUAGAGAGAUAAAGUAGAGGAGUAGCGUUCUGGAGGAGUUUUGGCAUGUCGGCGCUUCUUCGCUGUAUUCUUCGGGGUUCGACUCCCUCGCCCGGAGCUGCAAUCUGAGGUACUUUUGUAUUCAACAUUUUGAUUCAAGUAAGCAUUUGUUCUUAUUCAUUCUUAAGUUUGGAACUCGUAUUGAGUACUUUGAUCUACAGGACCUUGUAGGUUAAAGUUGUAUUCCAUAAUGUAGGCGUGGUUCCUAGGCUAGGUUUACUUGUGUAUGUCUCUUGAUUAGCCGGAUAGUGGUAGUCCACGUAGGUAACAACUAUGUUGGUUCCUCUAUAGUCCACUUCCCGUUGAUAGGAUUGAUAGGCGCCCCCCAGAAGUGCUAGUAGGAGAUUACUCUGUUUCUUCUCCUAUUAGGUACUGCCCAGUUAGAACAAUAUUAUACAAAGCUUACCAGUUGUCGAAACUAGAAGUCAUUAGCUAUUUCCUCCUUCUCGAUACUUAUCUUGCCUAAUUGUUGGGUUAGGUCUAUAGACUUUGUCAUCAUCACAACUAUUCCCUGUGGAUACGAUAUUGAAAACCUCCAAGUAAAAUAUGAUAUUGGUACGAUAUCUGUGCGCUUGCAGAUAAUCUUACUUAAAUCUUAUUUAAAAGAGUGCAGUUAAUUUAUACCAAAAAGCAUUUUUGGUGCCGUUGACGGGGAACGAUUUGCUGAUUUUGACUUAGUCUAGCUUAAUCUUGUACUAUACUUUUAUCUUUUCUUAUUUUUAUCACAUUCUCUUCAUUAUUUUUGUGUUCAUCCUUAUGGAUGCUUUUAAUUCUAUUCCUAUCUGUCUUUAUGGCAUGCGUGAAAGCUUCGGGCCACCAAAAUCUAAUGAACCUAUCACAACACCUAACUAUGAGCUGCACCCAUAUCUAAUUAAUAUGGUACGAGAUAAACCCUUCUCGGGAGAAGGUAACGAAAACCCAUACUUACAUCUACGAGAAUUUGAGCAGACCUGUGCAUGCUUGCACAUUGUUGGCAUGUCUAAUAAGACUGUUAGAUGGAAGUUUUUUCCGUUUUCCAUGACAAGAAAAGCUAAACAUUGGUAUAAAUCAAGCCGUAGGGAGUAUGCAAGGUGAUUGGGAAAUGUUAUAUUUUAAAUUCUGUUUACACUUUUUUCCCAUCUUCAAGGUAGCUAGCCUUCGAAAAGAGGUUCUAACUGCUAGGCAACUAGAACAAGAAUCUCUUAAUAAAUCAUGGGAGCAUUUUAAUGAACUUAUCACAUUUGGCCCUAACCUUGGUUUUCCAGACCUCAUGCUUCUUCAAUAUUUUUAUUUGGGUCUUAGCAAAGAAUCUAAGGAAUCCCUUGAUUUAGCCUUUGGAAGAGCUUUUCUUCACUUGCCUAUAACUGAAGCCAGACCGAUGCUAGAAAAGGUUGUUCAAGCCUAUCCUGAGCUCUCCGAGGAAGAGAAGGAAUCAUCUCCCGAACAAGAAGAGGAAGUUUUGGUAGCUAAAACACAAUGACCCCAAUCCCAAGAUUUAGCUAUCAAUCCUAAACCAUCAAAACCUCACAAUGAUGAUGUAGACUUUCAGUUAGCUAAGAUGCUUGUACAUCGAUCAGACCUUCUUAGAAGAGCAUCUUGGAAAAAGUGUCCUCAACUUCCUUUUCCUCCUAAAGGACAUCAAGAAGAAUACAUGGAUGGCAUGUCUAGUGACACUAUAGAAGGGGAGCUAAGCCACUCAAGAAUUAAUCAUAUCUUCUCCCCUUCUAUACCCACAUUAGAUAACUUAUCUGAACCCAACUUUAAAUCCAUCUUUGACCCUAAUGAUCCUUCUUAUACUCUCUCCCCUAAGUCUCAUAAUGACCCUAAAAACUCACUAUAAUACCCAAAGUAUAGGAGUCAUGAAGACUAUAGGAAUGAUCAAGAAGAGCAACAUCGACAAUGGCAUGAAUGCAUGGAACAUAUGAAAAACUCAUUUGCCAUUGUCAAAGAAUGGAUGGAAGAGAACGAAGCCUUAGUGUUAGCAUCUGAACUUGGUCUAGAUUCAAAUGGUGAGCUUAAAUCAAUUUCUUCAAUAAAUAUGAAUAAAUAUGAUCCAUCCAAGUUCGAAGGAAGCCUUAGACGAGACCAAAACUUGUUACCUAUAGACACCCAUGAAGUGGAGUUUGAAAAGAGAGAUCAAAUGAAUGAGCAUGAGAAUUAUUUCAUUAACACCCCAUCAAAUCCGUGCUCAUAUGAUAAAUCUUUUGGAUUCAUUGGUCUCUCUAAUGUUGCCACACAUGAGAUCAUCAACCCCCUUAUGCUAGCGGUUCCUAAAAACUUUAAAAGGGUGGUUGUAGACGUAUAUGUCUAUCAUAAAUAUUGUAGAUCCCGUUGUAAUCUUGAUAUAGGUGCACAAAGGCUAAUGUUCUAAAGGAAACCUCUUCACCAACUCCAUAAUCAGAAGGUUUCCCAAGAACAACUUUGUGUCCCAAAAUAACCACUCUUGAAAAAAAAUGAAUUAAGCUUGCACUUUUAGCAUAGAAAUAUAAUUGUUAAAAUAUUCCUUUGGUAUUUUUGUCACUAACUAUUUCAGGGUUGAAGUGAGAAAAUGACUAAUGGCAAGUGCCAGGUAUGACCAACUAUCAUAAUACAACAUUAAUCCAUCCAAACUUAACUUUGCUUUGCAAAAUUCUAGCUUGGGGGAAAUGGCCUUAUUUAGAAAAUCCUAUGCUGCUAAAAUUGGUUGUCUCUAUCUUUAUUCAAUUUGUUAAUCAUGCUCUUUCAUCUCCGUUUGAAUAACACUCUAUAAACUUUCAUGUUACCGUUGUUUGCUAUAGUGUACUUAAGGUUUGGAGAAAUUUCAGACACCUUUUAAAUUAGGCAUGGUGCUUAGUUUAAACUGCUUUCUGGAAUCAUAAUUAGACAAGGUGUUUAGUUUGAUUUUUGAACCAAGAGGUUUGUUGAUCUUACUUUCAAAGGCUUUUUGAAUUAAGCAAUGUGCUUAGGUUAGAAUACCUUCCUAAAUCAAAUUAGACAUGGUGUCUAGGUUGAUUUUUGAACUGAUACUAUACUGUAGUAGACAUUAGAUAUUUUAUGGACUAACCCCUGCAGAAAACUUUUAAUUUAAUGUGGGUAAGUCAUGAGAUGAAUUCAAAUCAGAGAUAAAACAAGACGCGUGAUGGGCUUCAAUAACUUUAUAGAAGAAGAUACAACUCAUUCAUCAUGGAUGAAAUAAUUGUGAGUAUUAAUGGAUUAUUCACUUUAUCUUCUACUGUAAGUUACUUUGCCUCAAGACAUGUCUUUAUUAAACAUGAUUUAUGCUAAAACAAUAUCAAUACUAUUAUUUUAUUAGCAUAGACAAAACAAAAUAAAAUACUAGACAAGCAAACCUAUAUUCAAAAGUUGUAUACUCCUUCGGGUAUGUGUUGUCCACUAAACUGUUGCAGGCAUAAUAAUGACUGGAGUGAAAAGAGUAAAAAGAUCAAAGAAGCAAAAGAUAACAAAAGAAUGAGUGCAACAAAGGAGAAAAGAUGUCCCUGAACAACUCAAGAUACAACAGAAGGAAAGGACCACCAGUCAUCUACCCUUCAUCACUUAGUGCCAUCAUGCACUAAUAAUGAAGGUAAUAUCCUAAGGUAAGUGGUCACCGCUCUCUCUCUUGAUCUUGUUGUGCACAUGCUUUGCUCUUUAAGAUUGUUCAUGUCACCGUUCUCUUAAUUUCAGUCUUAACAAAACAAAUUAAAACAUUAUAUUCAAUCUUGGGAAAACGAUAGUCAUACUCAUGUGAAAAUUUAUAUAGAGAUAGACAAUCCUUCCAUUGGUUAAGCAAUUUUAUUCUUUCCUGCCAUGUGAACUUAAAUGCAAUAUUAAAUGCUUAAUCUUCUAAUCUUAUCACUCAUGACAUAAGUAAACAAAUCAUGCAACACCAACUUUGUCUUGUUCAAUGUGCCUAAGAACAUAGAAAAAAUAAAUAAAGGGAUAAAUUUGGUUAUGUUGGUGUUCUUUCACCAGCAGAGCCUAUGCACUUGAUCUCUACCUUGGUUUUGCAAACAGGACAACACUUCGAGCAAAUUUUAUUAAUUCUACAAGUGAAAGUUCUAUGAACAUGCACACUGAGCAUGAUGCUGUUAGCUCCUAAUAUUAAAGUUCUACUUCAAGCUGUUGGCCAAACUAAAGAACAACAGUGACAUCACCAUCACUAGAGGUAUGCAACCAUCAAGACCUCUAUCUCUAAGAUGGAGAGAUACACAAGAGUGGAAGAAGAAGUCCUAUCGGUAAGCUUUAAAUUUUGUACCCUUGUCAUAAGGUAAUAUAGUAGUUAUCUAUGUAAGUGCAAUCAAGCCCUAGUGGGUUUUGGUGUUAAUGACCACACAAUUAGAGGACUAAUGAGAUUUGUUGAGAUGACAAGCAGGUAAAAUAAGAAUGAGGAUAACACAUGAGAUGUGAGAUGGAAAAAGCCCAAUUUACCAAAUAUGUUAGUCCAUUGUUGGAGUUGAACGAAAACAUUCGGUGAAUUAUAGCACCCCAAGUUUUCAAUAGAUGAACGGCGUUUCGACUCAAGUGGCUACAAAGUUUUUUUUAUCUUUUGUUGAGUUUUAGGAAAUGCCACACUAUCAAGAGGGGUGCAAAUUGAGUUGUUAAGAUGAGGAUAGGGGUGCUCAAGUCAAUUUACUUAAUGCGCUUGAGACACACUUGCACACACGAACAACUAGGAAAUUUCUUCUCUGCCAAGGUGAGCCGGUAGUACCGACCCUCAGGGCUGUUGACGGUCCUUAAGUAUCAAAUUUAAUUAUCAAAUAAACAAAGAAAAGGAUCCAAAUGAAAUCAACAUCCAGACUUAUGGUUUUAUCUGACAGAAUUCCACGAGUUUUGGUGUUUGUCUAUUUCUGCAGGGGGUUAUCAGGAAAUACGGAAGAAAGGCCCACACGUCGGGAUUACAUAGAGAUAUCAACGUGCCGUGCAAUUAUCUUACAUCUAGAAGACUCCAGAAGCCACGGGAACGAAGCGGAGGCCGAACGGGGCUUGGCCCUGGGCGCCCGCCCCCCUGCUGAGUCCAAUCAGGACUCUCUUUCGGGAUCAAUCUCCACCGACCUAAAGGAUCAAGGAUAACCAUUCAAUCAAUGUCGGUUUGAUCCGACGGCCCAUAUUCACUUGGAGGGACUAUAAAACCAGACCCCCUGGGCCCUGGAGGAGAAGAGCCUCUCAACCCUAAUUCAUUAUUCUCAAGGGAGAAGAAGCCUCUGAUCAAGCCUAGAGCCACCACAUCAAUUAGACAUCUAGAUUAGCAUAGCUACAUAGGAUUAGAACUAGAAGGAGUCAAUCUUCGAUUGGUUUCCGGAUCUGUCAAGAGGAUUCUUGGUAAUUCUCUAAUUGUUCUUCUAAUUGUUCAUCUUUUUUCUUCAAUAUUAUGAAUAUGACUUUGUUCUACUUCAAUAUAUUGCUUAUGACUUUGCUCUACUUGUUUAUAUUCAAGAUUAUAUUGUUCUUAGUUUAUCAUAGUUAUAUACUUGGCUUAGUUAGAUUGGAUCUAUAUACAUGUUUAGGAUCGUAUAGCGUUUAUCCAUCGGAUCCAUGGGUAAAUGAUAGAUAUUGUGUAGGCAUGGUGCUUAUACCGUAUUUAUCUGCGAUUGUACCCAAUAUGCCAGAUUGUGGGGUAGUUCGUGAUAGUGACAGCUUCAUUGAUUCUUAUAUAGUCCCCCUCUCGUGUAUUGGGCUGACACAGCAAAAUUAUUACAGGGGAGUGAUUGCUAUGUUUCUCAUUUACCUUGGUAAUAUCACUAUGCAUGGGUGUAAUCUUGUCUCUCAAUGAUUGCUAAGUAUACUUGCACUAACUAUGAUAAUGCUAGACUGUAUAGUUGAGAAUAACUUAGGAAAUAUUCUUGUAGUUCAUUCUAAUUCCAUGCUAAUGACUUGCUAGAAUAUCUAAUUUAGGUGCUUAUCAUAUUUAUAUGUGGCUAAGUUAUGCUGAUCAGAUUAAUUAUCUUUGUCACUAUUCAUUACUUUAUAUAUCCUUUAUGUGACACUUAGCCCUGUAUGAAAGAGUUAGAUAAAUGUUCUCAAUUAUACAUGCAAUGAUAGAUACUCAAUCUCAUAUUCCAUUCUAUAAUCAACAUUGAUGGUUACUAAUCCCUUCCUAGUGGUAAAAAUAUAAAUAACGAUACCUGGAAUACUUCCCGGUUAAAAUGCUACAUCGGUAUUAAUCUGUGCGCUUGCAGAUCCCAUUCAUUAUUUAUUUAGAUGAGCAAUUGCAUAUUUCAAUACCGCGUCUCUCAUGUCAUGUUGGGGAUGACAACUUGGCUUAAGUGGUAUGAGGGAUAGGUUUGGCAUUUUUGGCACCGUUAUCAGAAUUAGAAAACUAAGUCUACUUUUGGUAAUGAUGUUAAGAAUACCCAACAAGCAUUUUUGGUACCGGCAGUGCCAGUCCUUCUCUUGAGUUUUGCGAGAAAAUGAACUACCGGUAGUACCGGGCUCAGGCCGGUGGUACCGGCCAGCACCAGUAGUACCGGUGAAACGCCGGUAGUACCGGCAGGCCAAAUCUGCGCUGACUUUGGUUGCGGAGAUUUGAACUGCCGGUGGUACCGGCAAUGGUCGGUAGUACCGACAAAAGCCCGGUGGUACCGGUAGGCUUAUUUCUCGCAAAUCCUAGAGACUUCUUACCGUUAGAUCUGAGGUAGCCGGUGGUACUCAUGGUUGCCCCGGUAGUACCGGCAGUUGUUCAGGACCUUUGUAUAAAUAGCUCUUCCCUCAUUUCUGACCAUUGGCUCUUCCAUUCCUUCGAAUCCACAUCUAAGAAAACAGUCUCCAAGCUUUGACCCACCCACUCUCUCUCCCUCUUUGCUCCUAGGCUUCAAUCCUUGAGAGAUUCGAGCUAGAGAAGUGAGAUUAGAGAGUUGGGAGCUUCCAUUCGUGACUUGAGCACUUGGUUUCUUUGUCUUGCCGGUUGGUUUGCAUUUGUUACUCUUGGGUUCUUGGAACCCUAGCCGGCUAGGCGUUCUUCGUGGUUGCCCGUGUUGUUUCAUUUGUGAGGGCACCCCGAAGUGUUUGUAUUACCCUUUGAUUCUUAGUGGAAAUCUCUAGCUAACCUUCAUGGUUGCUUGAGGGAGCAGGCCUAAGUGGUCAGACCUUCGUGGUCACCUCAACAACGAGGAAGUAGGAACUCCUUAGUGGGGAUUGCCGAACCUCGGAAAAAAUAUCUUGUCUUGCUGUGGAGGUAGCAUCGACUAUCCUUAUUCUUGUGUUCUUCGUGUUCUUCUUAUCUACCCCUUUUCAUAGGCACUAUUCGCCUAAACGGCCUAAACGGCCGAUUAAACAGUUAUUAAACGGUAAACGGUGGCAAACUGUUUUGUUUAGGGGUAAACAGGAAAUUAAAUGGUUGACCGUUUAAACGGUCAAGAAACAGGAAAAAGGUCUAAACGGCCUGAACGGAACGGUUGUAAACAAUAUUAAACGUGCUAAACGGCUAUUUAAACGACCGUUUAGGCAAACACCAGAUGAAUCUAGUUGAAUUUUAUAUCAACAAUUUGUAUACUUAUAUUUAUUAUAUUUAUAAAUAUGUAAAAUUUAUUUGUUACAUGCAUAAAUAUAUAUAUUUGAUUCUUCUAACAUGCAUAAACAUAUAUACAUAAUAAAAUAAAUGGUUUUUUAGUUGCAUAAAUAUGUAUAAAUGAUAGAAUGAUUGAUUUUACAUUAAAAAUAUACAUAUUUUUGUAAUAUUGUGUAAAACCGUUUAGACCGUUUUAAUCCGUUUAAACACUGUUUAAACAGUUUAAACGCUAAACGAAGGGUAGCCGACUAUUUACCGUUUAGCGUUUAGAAUAACAUUGUUCAUAGGUGAACAAGGUCCGAUCUACGUUUUGGAGAAGAACCGAGUCAAGGGAACUUCAACAUCAUCCUCAACUACAUCUAGGAGAGUGGGGUAAAUCCCAGAUCUGAAAUCAAAACUCAUUAUACUCUAAUUUCAUAGCUCUCUUAGGAGGUCGGUAGUACCAGCAGUUUGCGUCGGUAGUACCGGCUGUCUUACACCAGUAGUACCGGCCCAAACUGUCGGUGGUACCGACAUUCAUUUAACUUUUGCAACUUGAAUUUUUGAGUUUCAGGUUUUUAGAUGCGCCUAUUCACCCCCCUCUAGGCUACCAAGGAUCCUUACAAGUGGUAUCAGAGCCGGUUACCUCGUGUGCGCUUCACCGCGUGAGGUAUGGAGCUCGGAGGAAGAUUGAGCGGUGCAAAGUCUACAGAAGUUCAUCCAGAGGAAAUGGGCUUGCAUGACACUGACACUGAUAGCUGCCAACUCAGUGUGUCGACAGCAAGCAAUACCACACUUCCUCAUCUCGAGCCUACCGAUGGUGAAAGGGCUCUCAAUGAAGAAGAGAAGAGAAAGCAAGCUAGGAAGGAGAAAGAAGAAGCUCAAAAGAGAAGCAAGAGAAAAGAAGAAAGAGCGACAACGAUUAGAUGAGAAGAAGGCAAGAAAAGAAGCUAGAAGGAUCAAGAGAGAAGAAAGAAGAAAGAAGAAAGAGAAGGCAAGCUAGGAAGGAGAAAGAAGAAGCCAAAGCUCCCAACACAUCUUCUAGUGAGCUUUCUAGCAGCUUCGAAGAUGGUGAUGAUGAUGAGUCCUAUCAAGUGCAUAGUAAGAAGGAUAAGAAAGAAAAGGGCAAGAAGAACGACAACAACAAAUAUGCUGUUGUAUCCUUUAACUAUUCUUCUAUGUCUAUGACUAACCAUGAUCGCAAGUCUUUCAUUAAUGUGCUCGCAGGGAAGUUACCUCAUUUUGAUGGGACUAACUUUGCCAAGUGGAAGCACUUGAUGAGAGCUUAUCUUAUAGGUCUCCACCCUGGUAUUUGGGAGGUUGUUUGCAAUGGGUUUGAGUCACCGGUUGAUCCCAAAAACUCAACACUAGAAGAGAUAAGAAUCAUUCACCUAAAUGGUCAAGCCACAAGUGUGUUGCUUAGUGCUUUGGAUGGUGAUGAGUACAACAAAGUGAUUGGUGUUGACAUUGCCAAGCAAAUAUGGGAUACUUUGCACCUUGCACAUGAAGGAGUUGACAAAGUAAGGAAGGCAAGAAUUGAUUUGAUGAUGGCCAAGCUCAACCGGUUUGUUAUCUUGGAUGGAGAAGGGCCACAAGAGAUGUUUGAUAGGUUGAUGUCCUUGGUGGGAAAGAUUAGAGGCUAUGGUUGUGAUGAGUUAGAUGAUCAUAAAGUCGUCAAGAUUAUGUUGGAAGCUUAUUCACCAAGAAAUGAGACCGUAGUCACUCUAAUUAGAGACAAGAAGAAGUUUGAGUACUUCACACCAAAUGAUGUACUUGGGAGGAUUUUGACAUUUGAUAUGCAAAGAGAAGAAGCCAAUGAAAGAAAGAAGCUUGGUGAGUUGCAAGCAACGCUAGAAGGCAUCAAGAUCAAUGAUGAUGUAGCUCUCAAAGCCAACAAGUCAACCAAACGACCCUCUACAAGCAAGUCCAAGUACAACAAGCAAGCAUCAACUAGCAAGACCAAAGCACCAAAGCAAGUCAAAGAAGUAGAGACAACAUCAUCAUCAAGUGAAGAUAAAAGUGAUAGUGAACAAUAUGAGAAAGUGCAAGAUAUUGCUCUCUUUUUGGGAAGAUAUCAAAAGGGACUCAAAAAGCAAGGCUACAAGGUAGUGAAGAGGAAGUUCCCAGACAAGAAGAAGAGGCUAUGCUACAAUUGUGGAAGCACUGAACAUCUCAUUGCUCAUUGUCCUCAUGAAAUCGAAGACAACCAUUACAAGAGAGACAAGAAAGAGAGCAAGACCGACUACAAAAAGAGCAAAAGACACAUGGGAUAAGCUCACAUUGUACAUGAAUGGGACUCAACAAAAGAUAGCUCAAGUGAGGAGGAUUAAAAGAUUGCAACUGUGGCUAUUCACAAGCCAUCCUCCACACCAAGGCUCUUCAACAACAUGUUUGAUGAUGACUACUACUCCCCUCACAUUUGUCUUAUGGCAAAGGGUGAGAAGGUAAAAUCCAAAUCCAAUCCUUCUCCCCCUAGUGACACAUCUAGUAGUGAUAUAAGUGAUUACUCUAGUGAUGAUGUGUCUAGUGAUGAAUAAAUUGAUAACAUAACAAAAAAUUUGGAUAGCAAGACCAAACUGUUCAUCACUAAGCUAAUGGAGGAUUUAGAGAGUGUUCAAGCUGAGUUAGAAUCUAGUGAAGAGACUCUUAUCAAACAAGAGAACCUUUACAUUGCUAGCAAGGAAGCUCUUGUUUUAGAGAGAAGUGAGGUGGAAUCCUUGCGCAAGGCUUUGGCCAAAGAGCAAGGGGCCCAUGCUAUCACGAAAAAAGCAAAUAUUGCCCUCAAGCAAAAGUAUUGUGACUUAGAUGGAAAGUACAAGCAACUUGAGGAACAAUAUAGCAUUCUUUGGCAUAGCAACUCACAUCCCUCUAAGGCAAAGGGUGCCUCUACUCCCUCCACUGGUCAAGGUUGUGGAAAAUGUUAUAAUCUUGAUUUGAAUGCUCAUUCUACUAACCUUGUAAACUUAGAGACUAUGAGAAAGGAGAUUGAAAGGCUCAAUGAGAUCAUUAGUAAGAAUUGCUUGGGUAGUAAGGCUCAAGUGAGUGAUAAAAGGGAAAAUGAUCCAAAAGGGCCUCAAUUCAAGCAAGGGAGACAUCCCUCAAUCAAGUAUGGGCUUGGACACACAAUAGGAGCCAAGACAAAUGGAAGAAAGAUAAUCAAUGGCUAUAAGUGUGUCAAGUUUGAAAGGAAGGGCAAAAUUGGUGUAUAGCGGCCUGCACAGAUUGUGACAGUAUAACGUCCCCAAGCGGUAGUGCCACAUAGUGGCAAUACCAUGAUGAAGGGCGGUAAUGUCACGCCCCGCAAAAAAGGGAAGGCUACCAAUUUUGUUCCUAAUCAAACUAAGCCCAAAAAGAAAGUGACAUACAAGGAAAAGAAGAUUUCCCAGAAGCCAAAGGAAUUAAUAUGGGGAACUCCAAACAAGUAUGCUUAUCAACCAAAGGUCCAUGCACCUCAACAAAGCUUGUCAUCAUGCUUUGUGUUGAAAAGUAACAACCGUGGUGAAGUUGUUGCUAAGUAUGUUGGCAAGGAGACCAAUGUCUACAAGAAUACUUCCAUUUGGGUUCCUAAGAUACUUGUGACUAACAUGCAAGGCCCCAAGUCUAUUUGGGGACCUAAAUCUAGCAACUAAACUUGUUUUGUAGGCAUACUCCUCCGAUGGAUCAAGUUGGGUGCUUGAUAGUGGAUGUACAAAUCAUAUGACCGGAGAAAGGAGUAUGUUCCAAUCAUAUACCCCAAAGGUGGACUCAAAUGAGAAUAUUGUCUUUGGAGACAAUUCUAAAGUGGUCUCGGUAAAGUUGCUAUAACCCUUUAGCAUUCAAUUACAAAUGUUUUGCAUGUUGAUUCGUUGAGCUACAAUUUGUUAUCCGUUUCUCAAUUGUGUGAGAUGGGUUACAAUUGUCUCUUUACGGAUAAGGGUGUGGAAGUGUUUAGAAGAGAGGAUUCCUCUAUUGUCUUUACGGGUCGUUUAAAGAAUAAGCUUUACCUAGUUGAUUUCAACAAAAGUAAAGCUAAUCUUGAGACCUGUUUAGAAGAGAUGGGUUGGUUUUGGCAUCGCCGACUAGCCCAUGUUGGGAUGAGAAACUUGGCCAAACUUCAAAAGGAUGAACACAUUCUUGGAAUAACAAAUGUUCACUUUGAGAAAGAUAGGAUAUGUAGAGCUUGUCAAGCCGGAAAGCAAGUUGGCGUACCUCACCCACCAAAGAGCAUCAUGACCACCACACAACCAUUGGAGCUCAUCCACAUGGAUCUCUUUGGACCGGUCGCCUACCUAAGUAUCCGGGGUAACAAAUAUGGUCUUGUUAUUGUUGAUGACUAUUCCCGUUUCACUUGGGUAUUUUUCUUGUUUGAUAAGUGUCAAGUUAGGGACAAAGUGAAGACAUUUGUUAGAAGAGCUCAAAAGGAGUUUGGUCUCCCCAUCAAGAAGAUGAGAAGUGAUAAUGGGACCGAAUUCAAGAACACUCAAGUUGAGGAGUUCCUUGAUGAAGAGGGCAUCAAGCAUGAGUUCUCAAGUCCAUACACCCCUCAACAAAAUGGUGUAGUAGAGAGGAAGAACCGAACACUCAUUGAUAUGGCAAGGACAAUGCUAGAUGAGUACAAGACUUUAGAUUUAUUUUGGUGUGACGCCGUCAACACCGCUUGCCAUGCCAUCAAUCGCCUCUACCUACACAAGAAAUUGAAGAAAACUUCAUAUGAGCUUCUAAUCGGUAACAAACCAAAGGUGUCUUACUUUAGAGUGUUUGGGUGUAAGUGUUUCAUACUUAACAAGAAACCCAAAACAUCUAAGUUUGCACCAAAAGUUGAUGAAGGUUUUCUUCUUGGUUAUGGAUCAAAUGAGCAUGCCUAUCGUGUUUUCAACAAAACCUCUGGGAGAGUUGAAAUAGCAGUAGAUGUGACAUUUGAUGAAUCUAAUGGUCUCAAGUAGAGCAAGUUGAUUCAAGUGUUAUAGGAAAGGAGGAUUGUUGGGUAUUUUAAACGCAAACAGAAAAAUCCGCAAGCACACGGAUACCGAUGUAGCCUUCACCCGGGAGUAUUCCAGAGUAUCGAUUUUCCACAGGGAAUGUGAGUGUACUAAUUAAGAUCCAAGAUCGCCCAAGGAUAACUAUAUGAUUAUUUUUGGUGGGAAGAGAGGAAGUUUUCUAAGAGUUCUCUAGUUGAUCUAAGAAUCAAGAAUUACUUCAAGAUUAUCUAUAUCGGUUCAUCAGAGCACUAACCACAGAAAGAGAUGAGAAGGGGGCUAGGAAGGUCUGACUACGGUCCUACAAACACCGAUCCGAACGUGGUGGAAUACGUCGACCGUUAGGGCUGUCACUACCCUAAGGCUACCACAACAAUCCGCAGGAUUGGGUGCAAUUCCAGGUAAUUGCAAGACUAAACACCACGUCUAAUCUAUUAAUUACUACUCUAAUGUUUCAAAGAUUAGAGCACUUGAUGCAAGCGGGAAUCCAAUAAAUAACUUGAAUGUAAAUAAAAGUAAUUAGAGAACUCAGGAGUUAUGAAUUGAAGAACCUGGAGAACGAUGAAGAACGAACCAGUUGCUGCAAAAGUACAAUGUUGAGGAAGAUCCGACAGAUCUGGCUCCUCCUCCGCUCUCCUCUUCUCUCUCCCUAUUUUCUAGAUUACAACUAGAACUAACUAGAACUAGAACUAGAGGAACUAGAACUAGAACUAGAUGAACUAGAACUAGAUCUAGAUGAACUAGAGGUAGAACUAGAAGAACUAGAGGGAUCCUCUCUACAUGGAUGAAGAAUUGAAACCCUAACUUUGAUUCUGUAGAAGAGGUAUGAUCUCCAGGGGCCAGGGGGGUCUGGUUUUAUAGUCCCUUCAAGUGAAUCUGGGCCGUCGGAUCAAACCGACAUUGAUCGUGUGGUUUUCCUUGAAGUAUUAGGUCGGUGGAGCAUGAUCCCCGAACUUCACCCUGAUUGGUCCGGGGGGAGGGCGGGCGCCCUCAGGACUAGGGCGGGCGCCCUGUCCCUGGGGCCUCUCGGCUUCCGCUUCGGUCCCAUGGCUUCUGGAGUCUUCUAGAUGAUAGAAAAUUGUGCGGCACGUUAAUAUCUCUAUGUAAACCCGACGUGUGGGCCUUUCCUCCAUAUUUCCUGAUAACCCCCUGCAGAAAUAGACAAACACCAAAACUCGUGGAAUUCUGUCAGAUAAAACCCUAAGUCUAGGUGUUGGUUGCAUUUGGAUCCUUUUCUAUGAUUAAUUGAUGGUUAAAUAUGUGCAUUAAGGACCGUCAACAAGCUCCCCCAAGCUUAACCUUUGCUCGUCCCUGAGCAAAGAUGAACUCAAGAGUUUCUGCAGUGGUUUCAUAACUUAAAGAUACACAUGCGUUUAAACAAGAUCUCAUCUCUGGUUAGAGUAAACUGUUAUGACUUAAAACUUACUCAUUUACCUUUCACCAUGGGACUUGUAACCGUCACUUCUGUCUUGAGUAGUUAAAAGAUAGAACGGUCUAGUCAAGCACCAUGUCUCUUAUUCUUGAUCAGCUAUAGCUCUGGAGUUUUUUUUUGUAGAUUUUCAAAUAAAACUCAGAGAUUCCUUGUAUGACUCUCUCUAGUCUCUCUUUUGUGGUAUUUCUGGAUCUUUACCAAGGCAUUAAUGGUGUAUGCCUUCUCUCAAAGUAUGUGGUAUUUGUGGUAUGAGGCAUAGUGGCAUUGCCUUCUCUCUCACCCUACUCUAAUAAGGUUUUGAUAUCUGGAGCUCAUAGGUGGGAGAUAGCUAAUACAUACUUACAAGACAUUUAUUGCAUAGUCAAACCAUGGAUCCAGAAGAACAAGUCAAUAAGUCAAAUCAAGAUGUGCAUGUGUGGCGAAUGAAUGGUGUAUGGUAAUGAUGGUGAUAACAAUGGUGAAAGUCUAAUUCUACUUUUGCUCUUUUGAGGGGAUACAUACCUUUCUUGCAUUUGAGGCUUUUUGAGGAGAAUGAGAUGCUCUAUAUUUUCUUUUUCUUUUCUCUCAGGUGGGUAUCUUGUACCCCUAAUUCUACUGUCGGACACAUGUCCAUUUUUACCUCUCGUCUCACUUUUUCUUUUCUUUCGAGGUUCCGGGCACUUGCCCCUUUUUAUUUCCUCGUAUCUCUCUUUUUUUUCUCUUUCUUUUUUUUUCUCUCAUUUUUUUUUCUUUUUUUUAUUAGAGCACUCAUCUCAUGAGAUAAUAUAGCAAGUGGUAGUAACAAGAUAACUUGAGCAUUUAUUUCAUAGGGGAAAAAUAGAAAUAUUUUUGGCUAUUCUCUCCCGGAUUAGGAGUAGAAUAUUUUUGGGUGGUUCUGGAGAUGGAAAUGGAUGGAUAUAUGUGGAAGCGUACUUCCUGAGUAGAAGCAGCAUGUAUGAGUGAACGUGCAAGUGAAUCUUGAUUUAACCACAUGACAAGCUCCUAAGGGUCUACAUAGCUUGACCACACUCAACGCUCAUAAGCAGUAAAAUGUAAAUGUGUGGCUCAAAGUCUAGCAAGCAUGUAUAUAUGGCUGUGGUAGGAAUUUAAACUCUCAUCAUAUAGGAACUCAUCAUGUGAUAUUUUAAAGAUUUUCAAAGAUAAAAUUCUCCAGAAUUCUAGCAUCUCUAGGAACAGAUAAGCAGUAGCUCAACCUUCCCAUAUCGUAUCCGUUAACGACUUAGACUUUAGAUCAAGUACUCUCCCCACAAGUUCAGGUUUAGAGCAAAUUAAUAACAGCCAGGCCUAAACUUGAGAGAGAGAUUUCAAUUUUGAGAACUAGUUAUGGCAGAGCAACUAUUCAUCAUUUCCAUGUGAAAGCUUAUCAUGAGGGUUCAUAGCAAACUUUAUUUAUUUAUUUAUUUAUCAAACUAAGCAAAGAUAUAUAUAAGCUCAAAAUCUUUAUUUGGGUUUUUAUGAUUAUGCAUCUUUUUAUUAUUUGAGUAAAAUAUAAACGUGAGUAGAAUGCUUAGCUGGAUAAAUGGGGGUGCUCUCCCCCAAGCUGGAUUUUGACGUAAUUUCUUCUGAUGUAGCUAGUAGGUGGUGGAGGUGUAUUUGAAUGUCGGCUGACAGCGAUUAGGAUGUCCUCCGUCUGCUAGUCUUCUUUGAUCCUUGAAUUCUGUGGAGCUCAAAUAGACAACAAAGCUUUGUGGAACUGGUUAAGUGUUAGCAUAAAUAUCUAGCCUUUAUCAUGUUGACCCUCCUCAAUAAAUGUUACUCUCUUUAGUAGGAUCAUAAAUUUAUUUUUAUAAUUUUAUUUUUAUAGGACAGGAAUAUAUUUAUUUUAUUUUUAUGCCACCACAGUGAAUGUACUUAUGGGCUUUAUGCCAUGAGCAUACUCACAUGGGGCUUACUUAACAUUUUUAUUUUAUUUUCAAAAUGAUAUGAACCUGAUUAACUAAAAUAAUUGAAAGAAAAAAGAUAACUACCAAGUUUACCUCUUGGCAGGGCGUUCGGUGUUUUUACGUCCUCCGAACGGGACUUUCCGUUUUCUCAAUCGUCCUGGGAUUCGCUGGAUGGCGUAGUCGGUGGUUCCGGUGGAGCCUGCUCUUCAUGUAUAACUAUCUUCUCUCUCCACACUUGACUCGAUGCUACGGUCGCCUCAGGACAAUUCUGUUUAAGUUGUAUGUCUUCAGACCUUACAACUUCUCCUUCAUUGUCUAACCAUUCGUCCUUGAUGAUUUGCCUCCUCUGGUUGCGGCUGUGUCAUCGUCUUCUUGUCCUGACCUGCUUAGAAUCUUCAACUAUAUAGUUAGGGUCAGUAAAACAGUGGCGUACCUUCUCUGAGGGGAAGUGCAUGUGGACUUCUCUGGUUCCAAUGUAUAUGAUUGCUUUAAUGGUGCUAAAGAACGGUCUUCCAAGGAUGAUGGGUGGAUCGUACUCGUCUUCUCCCAUGUCAAUAACCUUCAAUCUUUCAAAAUGUCUGAUCUGCCAUCUGGAGCUGAAUGUAUGUUGGUUGUAGGGACAUGGUUCCAUGCAGGAGCUGAUAAGUGACUGCGGCCAUUAUGUUGACGUUAGAUCCGGUGUCGUAGAGUGUCUUCUGAAAAGAAUAUCCGUUGAUUGUGCACUCGAUGCUUGGGACACCAGGGUCGUCCUUCUUGAUCAAGAAAGGCAACUUGAGUUGACGAUCUUGACCUCCUUGAGCUGCAGUGACCAUCUUAGCUGACUUGGUACAUAUUUGCUUGUUCUUGUUCCUCCUGUUGGUCCUCUUCCUUGGUUCAUGUCGGGAUUGCUCUGGGAUUUGUGUAGUCUUGUUUCUUGAAGGAAAACGUCUCUUUUGUCCCCUUGAUGUAGAAACUGAUCUUGGUAGCACUAGCGUAGAUGACAGCUCCCGAGGUGUUCAGGAAUGGCUUCCCCUAGGUAUAAAGUUGACGCUGGAGCCAAAGUCACAGAGUGCUUCUAGGAAGUCCACCAUGCCGAUGGAGAUUGGGAUGACGGGGCCUCCUAGAUUGUCUCUCUUGACCGGCAGAAGGUCAGUAAUUACUUCCACUACGGGGUUACUCCAGUAGUUAUAUCCUCAAGCAUCUCAGGGCAGUGUUUGCAUGAGUGUCCAGUAUCUCCAGCGUGUUUGUGCUCAUAGAUCUAGGUUCUUCACUUUGGUGGAGUCUGGGAGUUGUAAAACUCCUUCAUAUUUUGCU
rnacentral:lncRNA from 1 species